rnacentral:rRNA from 1 species
AUUGAACGCUGGCGGUAUGCUUAACACAUGCAAGUCGAACGGUAACAGGCCUUCGGGCGCUGACGAGUGGCGGACGGGUGAGUAACGCGUAGGAAUCUGCCUCAUAGUGGGGGACAACGUGGGGAAACUCACGCUAAUACCGCAUACGCCCUACGGGGAAAGCGGGGAUCUUCGGACCUCGCGCUAUGAGAUGAGCCUGCGUUAGAUUAGCUAGUUGGUAGGGUAAAGGCCUACCAAGGCGACGAUCUAUAGCUGGUCUGAGAGGACGAUCAGCCACACUGGGACUGAGACACGGCCCAGACUCCUACGGGAGGCAGCAGUGGGGAAUAUUGGACAAUGGGCGCAAGCCUGAUCCAGCCAUGCCGCGUGAGUGAAGAAGGCCUUCGGUUGUAAG